rnacentral:rRNA from 1 species
AAGGGCACUMUAAUGAGANUGCCGGUGACAAACCGGAGGAAGGUGGGGAWGACGUCAAGUCCUCAUGGCCCUUAUAGGUGGGGCUACACACGUCAUACAAUGGCUGGUACAGAGGGUUGCCAACCCGCGAGGGGGAGCUAAUCCCAUAAAACCAGUCGUAGUCCGGAUCGCAGUCUGCAACUCGACUGCGUGAAGUCGGAAUCGCUAGUAAUCGCGGAUCAGCAUGUCGCGGUGAAUACGUUCCCGGGUCUUGUACACACCGCCCGUCACACCAUGGGAGCGGGUUCUGCCAGAAGUAGUUAGCCUAACCGCAAGGAGGGCGAUUACCACGGCAGGUU